rnacentral:rRNA from 1 species
UACAGAGGGGGCAAGCGUUGUUCGGAAUUACUGGGCGUAAAGGGCGCGUAGGUGGCCUUCUAAGUCGAACGUGAAAUCCCUGGGCUCAACCCAGGAACUGCGUCCGAGACUGGGAGGCUUGAAUCCGGGAGAGGGAUGCGGAAUUCCAGGUGUAGCGGUGAAAUGCGUAGAUAUCUGGAGGAACACCGGUGGCGAAGGCGGCAUCCUGGACCGGUAUUGACACUGAGGCGCGAAAGCGUGGGGAGCAAACGGG